AUUGAACGCUGGCGGAAUGCUUUACACAUGCAAGUCGAACGGUAGAGGGGGCAACCCCUUGAGAGUGGCGAACGGGUGAGUAAUAUAUCGGAACGUGCCCAGUCGUGGGGGAUAACGUAGCGAAAGUUACGCUAAUACCGCAUACGACCUGAGGGUGAAAGCGGGGGAUCGCAAGACCUCGCGCUAUUGGAGCGGCCGAUAUCAGAUUAGCUAGUUGGUGGGGUAAAGGCCUACCAAGGCUACGAUCUGUAGUUGGUCUGAGAGGACGACCAGCCACACUGGGACUGAGACACGGCCCAGACUCCUACGGGAGGCAGCAGUGGGGAAUUUUGGACAAUGGGCGCAAGCCUGAUCCAGCAAUGCCGCGUGCAGGAAGAAGGCCUUCGGGUUGUAAACUGCUUUGUCAGGGAGAAAUCUUCUGGGCUAAUACCCCGGGAGGAUGACGGUACCUGAAGAAUAAGCACCGGCUAACUACGUGCCAGCAGCCG
rnacentral:rRNA from 1 species